rnacentral:rRNA from 1 species
AGAGUUUGAUCAUGGCUCAGACUGAACGCUGGCGGCGUGCCUAACACAUGCAAGUCGUGCGAGAAAGUGGGCUUCGGCCCGCGAGUACAGCGGCGCACGGGUGAGUAACACGUGGGUGAUCUCCCUAACAGAUUGGGAUAACAGCGGGAAACUGCUGCCAAUACCGGAUACGAUCCAUUUAAUCGUGGAUGAAAGGCGGCCUCUGCUUGCAAGCUGCCACUGUUAGAUGAGCCCGCGUCCCAUUAGCUUGUUGGCGGGGUAACGGCCCACCAAGGCGACGAUGGGUAGCUGGUCUGAGAGGAUGACCAGCCACACUGGGACUGAAACACGGCCCAGACUCCUACGGGAGGCAGCAGUGGGGAAUAUUGCGCAAUGGGCGAAAGCCUGACGCAGCGACGCCGUGUGAGGGAAGAAGGCCUUCGGGUCGUAAACCUCUGUCAGAAGGGAAGAACCCCCAAGGUUCGAAUAGGGCUUUGGGCUGACGGUACCUUCAGAGGAAGCACCGGCUAAUUCCGUGCCAGCAGCCGCGGUAAUACGGAAGGUGCAAGCGUUAAUCGGAAUUACUGGGCGUAAAGCGCACGUAGGCUGCUUUGUAAGUCGGAUGUGAAAGCCCUCGGCCCAACCGGGGAACUGCAUUCGAAACUGCAAGGCUGGAGUCCUGGAGAGGGUGGCGGAAUUCCCGGUGUAGGAGUGAAAUCCGUAGAUAUCGGGAGGAACACCAGUGGCGAAGGCGGCCACCUGGACAGGUACUGACGCUGAGGUGCGAAAGUGUGGGGAGCAAACAGGAUUAGAUACCCUGGUAGUCCACACCGUAAACGAUGGAUGCUAGGUGUCGGGGAGUAUUCUUCGGCGCCGUAGCUAACGCGUUAGGCAUCCCGCCUGGGGAGUACGGUCGCAGGGCUGAACUCAAAGGAUAUGACCGGGGCCCGCACCAGCGGUGGAGUAUGUGGUUAAUUCAUGCACGCGAAGACCUUACCUGGUUUGAAUUCUUCGAACUUCAGAAUGGAGGGGGCCCUUCGGGACGAAAAACAGGGCUGCAUGCUGUCUCACUCUGGCGUGAGGGGUGGGUAAAUUCCCACCAAGCCACCCCUUUGCCGUUCCACCGUAUGUGGGCCCCUGGAAAUGCCGGUCAACGGAAGAAGGGGGAAAAUAAAUUUAGGCCUUAUUGCGGUUCCCCGUUUAGUGGGACAAAGGGGUUAACCCGGGGCCCACCCAAAAUUCCCCCCGGUUGUGCCCCCCGCGGAGGGGGACUUAUCACACACCGCGGGAAUACCCCCUCCACC